rnacentral:misc_RNA from 1 species
GAAAUGCGAUAAGUAAUGUGAAUUGCAGAAUUCAGUGAAUCAUCGAAUCUUUGAACGCACCUUGCGCUCCUUGGUAUUCCGAGGAGCAUGCCUGUUUGAGUGUCAUGGAAUUCUCAACUCUAUUUGCUUUUGUGAAUAGAGCUUGGAUUUGGAGGUUUAUUGCUGGUACUUGUGAUCGGCUCCUCUUGAAUGCAUUAGCUCGAACCUUUGCGGAUCAGCUAUCGGUGUGAUAAUUGUCUACGCCGUUGCAGUGAAGCAUAUCAAUGGGCUCGGCUUCCAAUCGUCCUGUACUGGACAAUGACUUUGACCUUUGACCUCAAAUCAGGUAGGAUUACCCGCUGAACUUAAGC